rnacentral:rRNA from 1 species
ACGCUCGACACCUACGAGGCAGCAGUGAGGAAUAUUGGUCAAUGGGCGCUAGCCUGAACCAGCCAAGUAGCGUGAAGGAUGAAGGCUCUAUGGGUCGUAAACUUCUUUUAUAUAAGAAUAAAGUGCAGUAUGUAUACUGUUUUGUAUGUAUUAUAUGAAUAAGGAUCGGCUAACUCCGUGCCAGCAGCCGCGGUAAUCUGAGCGGGCUGGCAAGGC